GUAUUGUAUUGCGUUAAACGCGACAUGCAUUCCAUAAAACUUUGUCACUGUGUGUGUGUAAAGACAUAGAACCACAGUGGGAGAACAGAGUCCCCCACACCACGGAACUACAGAGGGUGCACAGGUGUGAGUGGGUGUGUAAACAGAGCGUGCACAUGCCCCCAUUUGAGGGCCAGCAACAACUCGUGUCGACAGUUCAGUAAUGAUCCUUCCGCAGGUUCACCUACGGAAA
rnacentral:misc_RNA from 1 species